GUUCCCUCAAAGGGAAUGGGAAGUAACAUAUUCAUUAUUACUUAUUCCAAAACUCUAACAGUGUUUUUUAAAUGCUAUAUUUUAGAAACAAAGACUGUUCCAGAAGACCCUAAUAGCUCAAGAAAAGCUGUUGCUUUCUUAUUGCCAUUCUGUAUUAUUUUGCAAGCUGUCAAAUAUUCACUAAGAGCAAAAGAGUACAUAGUUUAGAGAAACCAGGUAGCAAGAAAAGUCUUAAAUUCCCCCUUUCAAGGAAGAUAUUCAACAACACAUUUUACAUGAGCAUUAACAAUACCUGUGUAAGUAGCUGAUUCAAAAUAAAUACUGUGACCAGUAUCAUGAUUACAGGAAUUGAUUGACACAGCAGGUCCAUAGCCUUAACCUACCCUUCAACUUUAUUCCCUACAAUUUCUUCCUUAUUCUCUCACUCCAACCACACUUUUUUCUGUUUCCUGAAAGACCUAUGCUCCUUUCCAACAUAGGGGCCUUGAGCAUGCAACUACUGCUGCCUAAAAUACUGUGUCCUUGCCUUCUAUUUAUUCUCCUCCCUAAGACCUCAAACAAACCAUUAUAUCUGUGGGAAGCUUUCAAUGACCCUCCAAUUGUGGAUUCAACCCCCUCCAUGUCCACACAUGUACAACUAUGUAAUCACCAUACAUAACUCUUGCUCUUCAAUACACCAAGGAUCUGGUAAUAUUACUUCCUAUGAUAUUCCCAGGGGUUAGCACAACAUGCAACACACACUGGAAAUCAAAAUAUUGCUCCAGUGUGGAAUGAAAUCAUCAUGUAUAACCCUGGGUGAGAUAAUACUAAGGUUCCUAAAAUAGCAGCUUUGAAACCUCAAGAAAUUUGGAAACUGCUAGGGAAGAAAAGGUACAUGUUGACUAACAAGAAAGCAAAGGCAUGUUCAUAAAAUUUGUGAAUAAAGCUGAAUUAGGUGACUUAUAUCUUAAAAAGACUUGGAUCCUGUGAUAAUUAGAGAAGAAGGUAGGGAAACAUCUGAGGGUGGCGAAUAUCAUGAGCAAAAAUAUCAAGGAAGAAGGAAAACCAAUUUUGACAAGAAGAGUUAACAGCCUACCUUGCUGACAGGGGAAGGACUGUGUUACCAAGAACAGGUGAGGCGGUGAGGCACAGGGCCAGCAGCCCUAUGGAAAGGGCCUUCACCCAGGGCUGGGCACAUUGGCUUCCAUCAGCACAAACUGGUGAAGGGGCCACCACAGAAAAGGAUCAUUUUAAGAUGAGGCAAACUACAGGGUACAUUUUAAAAACAGUUGGCAAUGGAGAAUUAAGUUUUAAAAUAACAGUUUUACAUGAAUAUGAUUACAAAUUGGAAAGAGAAUAAGGAUAAACAACCUUAUGUUGACUUAAUCAUUUAGGAAAGGGCUCAGCUACAAGCAAUAGAAAGUCUACACUACACUGGGUUAAUCAGAUUGAACUACUUCCUUCUCUCCUCACAACUAAAAGCAGAGGCAAGCAGCUCAGGGUUUAGUUAGGCAGGUCCAUCUAGCUCCCACUAACUGGGGCUCAUUCUUCUUUUCCCUGAACCUGUUAUUAAAGUCUCCAGAUGGAUAAUUCUCUCAACACCUCGGUAAAAACACUGGCCUCAUAUUCAUUUGCAUGUUACUACAUUUCAAUAGGAAAAAUACAAGGCAUGCCUCAAUAAAGAAAUACACUGAUUCAGAACUAGAGGCCCAUAUUACUGGGAAUCCAAGGAGAGUGUCUAAGAGUUCUGGAUAUGAAUUCCAAAUGCAAUGACAGAGUUUUAUGAUGUACUCUAAGUUUCCCAUCCCGACAUCAGGCUGAAGAAUCCAGCAUAGCCUCACUACUAGAAAUCCCCUAAACUUGGCAUGGAAAGGGAUUAGUAUUGCCACACCUGACACCUUGGGUCAGUGACACUGCAGAAUCAUGUCACAUCUAGGCUUCCAACCAAGAGAAGAAAAACAGCCUUCAAACAAGGAGAGGCUCAGAAUACUUCCUUACAGCCCCGCCAAGCCACUCAACUCGUUCUUCCUGGUCUACGUUUUCUGAUCUCCUAUCUCAGGCCAGAUCCCUGGUGAGGGCUCCUCCCUCAAGGUUGUCUCCUAAAAGGGGUAGAGAAACCCUAACUCAAAUGGGGGUUCAAUUUUACAGAAUAACUGGAAGCCCUUUCAGUUUGCUCUGUUAUGCAACAAUAACCACCCCAAAAAGUGUGUAGGGUGGGGGGAGCCUGGGGCUGUAGC
rnacentral:lncRNA from 1 species